CACUGACAGGCUCGACCAGGGCUGGAGGACCCGCUCUGACUGUUGGCUGGCGGCCGCGCUUACUUGCACAUGGACGCCCCCGAAGCGCCCCUUGUGAUCUCGCCAUGUGGCAGCUGCGAGGAGCCGGAGGAGCUGCAGGGUUUCCAGGGACCUGGUCUUGCGGGUCGCACACAGCACGUUAGGGGCAGGGGGGACGGACUGUGCUUUGGGGUGGGAGGCAGCCAAAAGAAUUAGGAUUAAAUUCCCAUGUAUGGCUAGUUUCACCAAACUUUUGAUUGAUUAAGCUCUCAGGUUCCCUGUUCUUAUCUUCAGCUCUUUGUCUCUUCCCUGAUCCUCACAGUAUGAUGCUUUGUUGCCUCCCAUAUGAAAGAAGCUCACAAACCAGCCACAGUGGCCUUCUGACCCUUAAAAGUCAUUCCCUUUCUUUUCCUGGUAACUAUUUGGCCUGUGUUAUUUGAGAGAACAGAUGCUAUUUCUGAAUAAAAGAGCAUGAAUACAAUUUUAAAUGUUUUUGUUG